CAGUCGACGAUGAAACCGCUUCGGUGGUGGAUUAGUGGCGAACGGGUGAGUAACACGUGGGCAAUCUGCCCUUCACUCUGGGACAAGCCCUGGAAACGGGGUCUAAUACCGGAUAACACUCUGUCCCGCAUGGGACGGGGUUGAAAGCUCCGGCGGUGAAGGAUGAGCCCGCGGCCUAUCAGCUUGUUGGUGGGGUAAUGGCCUACCAAGGCGACGACGGGUAGCCGGCCUGAGAGGGCGACCGGCCACACUGGGACUGAGACACGGCCCAGACUCCUACGGGAGGCAGCAGUGGGGAAUAUUGCACAAUGGGCGAAAGCCUGAUGCAGCGACGCCGCGUGAGGGAUGACGGCCUUCGGGUUGUAAACCUCUUUCAGCAGGGAAGAAGCGAAAGUGACGGUACCUGCAGAAGAAGCGCCGGCUAACUACGUGCCAGCAGCCGCGGUAAUACGUAGGGCGCAAGCGUUGUCCGGAAUUAUUGGGCGUAAAGAGCUCGUAGGCGGCUUGUCACGUCGGAUGUGAAAGCCCGGGGCUUAACCCCGGGUCUGCAUUCGAUACGGGCUAGCUAGAGUGUGGUAGGGGAGAUCGGAAUUCCUGGUGUAGCGGUGAAAUGCGCAGAUAUCAGGAGGAACACCGGUGGCGAAGGCGGAUCUCUGGGCCAUUACUGACGCUGAGGAG
rnacentral:rRNA from 1 species